UACGUAGGGUGCGAGCGUUGUCCGGAAUUACUGGGCGUAAAGAGCUCGUAGGUGGUUUGUCGCGUUGUUCGUGAAAACUCACAGCUUAACUGUGGGCGUGCGGGCGAUACGGGCAGACUGGAGUACUGCAGGGGAGACUGGAAUUCCUGGUGUAGCGGUGGAAUGCGCAGAUAUCAGGAGGAACACCGGUGGCGAAGGCGGGUCUCUGGGCAGUAACUGGCGCUGAGGAGCGAAAGCGUGGGGAGCGAACAGG
rnacentral:rRNA from 1 species